ACCCUGGUGGCAUAGUGGCUAAGUGCUAUGGCUGCUAACCAGGAGAUCCGCAGUUCGAGUCUGCCCGGUGUU
rnacentral:tRNA from 1 species